CUCUACAUGACAGAACUCCCGUGCAUCGGCGCGGUGGAUUGUCACGGGGCUGCCGUUUCAUUCUCCGUCCCGGUUGGCGGGAAAUUUCGCCUGGGAGGGAAGUUCCUGGCCGGUUUCGUCUGUGCUGUUCUAUCCGAGCGGGGAAACAAGAUGGGUCCCUUGAUGGGUGUUUUCUGCUUGCCUUGUUGAUAGUUUUAUCAUCUUUGGGGCAGCCGAAUGGUUGGCAAAACCCUUGAGCAAGCCACGGUGAUUUUGCCGUGGCACCGCACGCGGGUGUUGUCGGCUCUUACGGAUGCGGUGUCUCUGAUAAGUUUUGUAGGCCACCGGUCCACAAAGCUUUGAGAAGGUCCCCUGUACGGAUCAUUGGUCCGUCGAUCGCCCCUCAUGUUUGUUAUGCCUUCAUGCCGGGGCGGUGUGUGGGUGGCCUCUCCGACAGAACGAACAGCGAUUGUAGGCAAUUAUUGCGAGACGGGCCUCCCAACCGGGGUUGUUCCGGAAGCAACGUGCCGACUCUCGUUUAAGACGUGC
rnacentral:misc_RNA from 1 species